rnacentral:tRNA from 1 species
ACCCCAUUCAUAGAGGUAUUAAUCCUCUCCUUUUUA